rnacentral:rRNA from 1 species
UACGAAGGGUGCAAGCGUUGUUCGGAAUUACUGGGCGUAAAGGGCGCGUAGGCGGCUUUUUAAGUCAGACGUGAAAUCCCCCGGCUUAACCUGGGAACUGCGUCUGAUACUGGGAAGCUUGAGUUCGGGAGAGGGAUGUAGAAUUCCAGGUGUAGCGGUGAAAUGCGUAGAUAUCUGGAGGAAUACCGGUGGCGAAGGCGGCAUCCUGGACCGAAACUGACGCUGAGGCGCGAAAGCUAGGGGAGCAAACGGG